CAUUACCUAGCGGCGGACGGGUGAGUAAUGCUUAGGAAUCUGCCUAUUAGUGGGGGACAACAUUCCGAAAGGAAUGCUAAUACCGCAUACGUCCUACGGGAGAAAGCAGGGGACCUUCGGGCCUUGCGCUAAUAGAUGAGCCUAAGUCGGAUUAGCUAGUUGGUGGGGUAAAGGCCUACCAAGGCGACGAUCUGUAGCGGGUCUGAGAGGAUGAUCCGCCACACUGGGACUGAGACACGGCCCAGACUCCUACGGGAGGCAGCAGUGGGGAAUAUUGGACAAUGGGGGGAACCCUGAUCCAGCCAUGCCGCGUGUGUGAAGAAGGCCUUUUGGUUGUAAAGCACUUUAAGCGAGGAGGAGGCUACUAGUAUUAAUACUACUGGAUAGUGGACGUUACUCGCAGAAUAAGCACCGGCUAACUCUGUGCCAGCAGCCGCGGUAAUACAGAGGGUGCGAGCGUUAAUCGGAAUUACUGGGCGUAAAGCGCGCGUAGGCGGUUAUGUAAGUUGGAUGUGAAAUCCCCGGGCUUAACCUGGGC
rnacentral:rRNA from 1 species